rnacentral:lncRNA from 1 species
GAUUUCAAGGGCCGACAGGAAGCCUCGAUCGGGGAACUCUGACCUUGCGGAGGAAACUUGUUUCCCUUUUUUUCUUCCCGCCGACUUUCACUCGAUAAAACCCUGCUUUAUUCACCCUUUAAACCUUCUCCAAACCUAAAUUUUCCUGGCCUUGGGACGGACAAGAACCCAGUCUUCAGAUGAAGGAAGGAAAAGUCCUGCAACAUUCUUGGCGUGCAACGUUGGGGCUCUUGAAGAGGUGUACUCUAACUUUCUCCACCCUUUGAGGCUGUCCUGCAUGGACAGCAUCAGUGCACUCUUUUGCACUCUUCUGCUGGCUUUGGUCAUUGGGAGCCAAUAAACAAUCUGAAGGCAGAAUGAGUAUAAGUUGGGAG